rnacentral:misc_RNA from 1 species
UAAUAAGUGUUUUAUGGCACUUUUUAAAUCCAUAUCCACCUUGUGUGCAAUGUCAGUCGGUUUUCUUUUUCGUCAAGAAAAAAAGGAUCGACCAAACAUCAACUUUUUCUAAUUGAACUUUUGUCUGAAAACUAUUAUGAAUAAACUAAUUCAAAAUA